rnacentral:rRNA from 1 species
UACGGAGGGUGCAAGCGUUAAUCGGAAUUACUGGGCGUAAAGCGCACGCAGGCGGUCUGUCAAGUCGGAUGUGAAAUCCCGGGGCUCAACCCGGGAACUGCAUUCGAAACUGGCAGACUUGAGUCUUGUAGAGGUGGGUAGAAUUCCAGGUGUAGCGGUGAAAUGCGUAGAGAUCUUGAAGAAUACCGGUGGCGAAGGCGGCCCACUGGACAAAGACUGACGCUCAGGUGCGAAAGUGUGGGGAGCAAACAGG